UACGAAGGGUGCAAGCGUUACUCGGAAUUACUGGGCGUAAAGCGUGCGUAGGCGGUUUGUUAAGUCUGUCGUGAAAGCCCCGGGCUCAACCUGGGAAUGGCGAUGGAAACUGGCGAGCUAGAGUACGGUAGAGGAGAGUGGAAUUCCCGGUGUAGCAGUGAAAUGCGUAGAGAUCGGGAGGAACAUCAGUUGCGAAGGCGGCUCUCUGGACCAGUACUGACGCUGAGGCACGAAAGCGUGGGGGAGCAAACAGG
rnacentral:rRNA from 1 species